CGAGGGUGAUGAUAGCAAAGCAAACAUGGCGGCCUCUAUUGGAAAGACAUCCUAAGAAUUUGUGGACAGUUGAUGGCAUUGGGAAAAACUCAUCAAUGAUGCAUUUGCAAACUUUAAGAGGUGCUUUGUGGAAAUAAAUCCAAUGCCUGGGUCCAAGACAUAAAAGAUGAUUUUUAUUAUUUGUAAAUGUUGCGAUUUGUAAUACAUUUGUUAUGUUGUAUAUAUGUAUUUGUGAAUUAUUUUGUAUUGCUCAAAUUCUAAAAUAAACAAGAUCUCCACGUAAGGUUUCUUAUUUUUUCUGUGUUUAAAAUAUUUUCAAUAAUAG